AUUGAACGCUGGCGGCAGGCCUAACACAUGCCAGUCGAGCGGAUGAAGGGAGCUUGCUCCUGGAUUCAGCGGCGGACGGGGGAGUAAUGCCUAGGAAUCUGCCUGGUAGUGGGGGAUAACGUCCUGAAACGGGCGCUAAUACCGCAUACGUCCUGAGGGAGAAAGUGGGGGGUCUUCGGACCGCACGCUAUCAGAGGAGCCUAGGUCGGAUUAGCUAGUUGGUGGGGUGAGGGCCUACCAAGGCGACGAUCCGUAACUGGUCGGAGAGGAUGAUCAGUCACCCUGGAACGGAGACACGGUCCAGACUACUACGGGAGGCAGCAGUGGGGAAUAUUGGACAAUGGGCGAAAGCCUGAUCCAGCCAUGCCGAGUGUGUGACGAAGGUCUUCGGAUUGUAAAGCACUUUAAGUUGGGAGGAAGGGCAGUAAGUUAAUACCUUGCUGUUUUGACGGUACCAACAGAAUAAGCACCGGCUAACUUCGUG
rnacentral:rRNA from 1 species